rnacentral:rRNA from 1 species
AACGAACGCUGGCGGCAGGCUUAACACAUGCAAGUCGAACGGGUGUAGCAAUACAUCAGUGGCAGACGGGUGAGUAACACGUGGGAACCCUCUUAGGAGUACGGAACAACUCAGGGAAACUUGAGCUAAUACCGUAUACGUCCGUGAGGAGAAAGAUUUAUCGCCCUUAGACGGGCCCGCGUCGGAUUAGCUAGUUGGUGGGGUAACGGCCUACCAAGGCGACGAUCCGUAGCUGAUCUUAGAGGAUGAUCAGCCACACUGGGACCUGAGACACGGCCCAGACUCCUACGGGAGGCAGCAGUGGGGAAUCUUGGACAAUGGGCGCAAGCCUGAUCCAGCCAUGCCGCGUGAGUGAAGAAGGUCUUCGGAUUGUAAAGCUCUUUUGCCAGGGACGAUAAUGACGGUACCUGGAGAAUAAGCCCCGGCAAACUUCGUGCCAGCCGCCGCGGUAA